GAUGAACGCUGGCGGCGUGCCUAACACAUGCAAGUCGAGCGGAAAUAUUCAGAAGUAUACGUACGGAUGGAUAUUUUAGCGGCGGACGGGUGAGUAACACGUGAGCAACCUACCUUUUGCUGGGGAAUAACAUCGGGAAACCGAUGCUAAUACCGCAUGACAUUCCGAUGGGGCAUCCUGUUGGAAUCAAAGGAGAGAUCCGGCAAGAGAUGGGCUCGCGUCCGAUUAGCUGGUUGGUGAGGUAACGGCUCACCAAGGCGACGAUCGGUAGCCGGACUGAGAGGUUGGACGGCCACAUUGGGACUGAGACACGGCCCAGACUCCUACGGGAGGCAGCAGUGGGGAAUAUUGGGCAAUGGGGGAAACCCUGACCCAGCAACGCCGCGUGAAGGACGAAGGCCUUCGGGUUGUAAACUUCUUUGAUCAGGGACGAAAGCGAUGACGGUACCUGAGGAACAAGCCACGGCUAACUACGUG
rnacentral:rRNA from 1 species